UAGAAAUCACAUAUAACAAAUACAAUUAUUAAAAUAUUUCUAGAUACAUACACAAAUAUUUAUACUAAACAAAAAUAAUUAUGUAAAGAUACCAAACAUUUGUAAUUCAGAACAUAUAAAUAUUCUAGUCAUCUAAAUUAAAAAAUAAUAAUAAAAGGAAAAGGAAAAGGAACGAAAGAAAAUUUAAAAAAAAAAAAAAAAAAAAAAAAAAAAAAAAAAAAAACAAUCAGACAUACAAAUUGAAAUUACUUUUGAUUCAACGUAUUUUUUUAAAUCUAAAUAAAAUAUUCACAUCUUAAAUAAAAAUAAAACUAAACUAAAAACAAUAAAAGGGAUAAAAGCAUUAAAAGGCGAAAAAGAAUGAAAAGUAGAAAAAGAUAUGAAUGAAUUCCUUUCAAAACAAUCCCUACUCUAACACUAUUAUUAAUCCUUCUCAACGAGUAUUAUCCAGCCAUCAGCACUCUUCUUAGAAUAUAAAGAUGAAAAAGGGGAAGGGAGAGGUCAAAACAAGAGACGCGGGGAUCACUGGUUCUAAGAAACGAUUGCCAACUGAAAUUCAAAGUCUGUCGAGUUCUUCUGAGGAGGUACAAAUACGGGGUAUAUCCAAUAUCAGUUCUAGGUUGUUGAGAUUCUGUCCUAAUUUUAUGAUUUUGUAAAGCCAUUGGUUUCGUUUAUUAUUCGCUCUCGUGUGCGUGUGGAUGGUGUUGAGAAAAAAUGUAUUUUUCGAGAAGAAAAGAGGAAGAGAUAAGUCCAUGUGCUCCCAGGUUGAGUGAAAAAGUAUUUAUGACAUGAAGUUUUCUGGUCAAUGAUUAGAAGAUAGAUUUGAAAUUAUCGAAGAUCAAGUGUUGCUUGAUUGGUUGCAUGGUGAUGAUUGAUUAAAGGGGAGUGGUUCUUUUAUUGCCUUUAUGAUAAACAUUAGUGAAUGUUCUUCUGAUUCAAUUGUCAGUAAAAUGUGUCACUAAGUAUAGAAUGUUAAAAAUGUGUAUAGAUGUCUGUACUGUUGGUCAUAAGUCUGUAAACAUGAAUUAUAUCGCAAGGUAAUAUAUAACCUCUUAUCAUGAGUCAAGGACCCUCCAAAUAUAGAUGUUGUGUCAUCAAACUAUGUUAACAAUGUUUGGCAUUUUGAUAGUCAUUUAUACUUAUUGCUCUCUCA